UCGGGAAUUUUGCCCAAUGGACGAAAGUCUGAGGCAGCAACUCCGCGUGAGGGAUGAAGGCCUUCGGGUCGUAAACCUCUUUUCUCAGGGAAGAUACAAGACGGUACCUGAGGAAUAAGCCACGGCUAACUACGUGCCAGCAGCCGCGGUAAUACGUAGGUGGCGAGCGUUGUCCGGAUUUACUGGGCGUAAAGAGCGCGCAGGCGGCUGGGCAAGUCCGAUGUGAAAGCUUCCGGCUUAACUGGAAAAUUGCAUCGGAAACUGCUCGGCUUGAAGGUGGGAGAGGGUAGCGGAAUUCCCGGUGUAGUGGUGAAAUGCGUAGAUAUCGGGAGGAACACCAGUGGCGAAGGCGGCUACCUGGCCCACUCUUGACGCUGAGGCGCGAAAGCUAGGGGAGCAAACG
rnacentral:rRNA from 1 species